GUGUGCUUGCCCCCGCGCUCCUCCUCUUGCAUCUCUCUCCAACCACCUGCCACCGAUGCACCCAUCCCCUCCUCCCAGCAGCCACCAACCUACGACUACGGCUACGGCUACGGAGACGCCGGCCCGCCCCAGCCCCAGCAGCAGCGGCUACUUCAGCGAGCGGGAGGAGCAGCGCCGGGAAGAAGAAAGUCCUGGUCCUGCUGUUGUUGCUCCUCUUCAAGUUGCCGCUCCUCCGUCCGGAGCUCCUCUGCAGGACCGUCGGGUGCUGCUGCUGGUGGUGGACACCUCUGCUUUCACCGCUGCUGCUGGUGGGCAACGCCGACGCCCUCCGAUCCCCGUCACCAACCCCCCAGAGGCAUCCGCCUCUGCCUGUAGAAGAAGCUCCCAGACUGUGGCUACGCAGCGCAUGGACUUGAGGUUCAGGUUGGGAGUAUUAUAGCAAGACGUCCAUGGUAGAGAUCUAGAGAGGUCUGCAUCAACAUGAAUGAAUUCUUAUAUCUGAGGCGAGUUGCAGUCUUGCAGAAAAUGAGCAUUCCUAACGAUGCCUCGAUGGGCGGUAGCAGCAUGUGCAGAUGAAACAACCAACACUUCGAUGUUUAAGCAACAUGCAGGAGAUAAGAUACAACUUCAUCUAGAAAAUAAACAAGUUCAUACAUUUACUUUACAGUUCUUUUAGAAGAAUAAAAAAUGCAAUGUGGUCAAAGGAACAUGGGAACCACGGCUUUAGUUAGCAAAUUUGUGACUUCUAGAACAGGUAAAUCCAAUUUAUGAAUUUCAGCAUUUUUUGGUUAUUUUCUUAAAGUAUAACUAAAAGCUUUACAUGAUGUAUUUAGAAUUAAUAAGGUGAUGUCUCAUUUUUUACCAUUGCAAUAUGGUAAGAUCCAAACAAUUAUUAUAUUUAUGUAAAACUUGCUUAUUAGCAGAUUCAAUGUAGUCCUAUCGGUGUAAUAUUUUUAUCUAUUGGAUGAUGUGAUUUUGGUUGCUUCUAGAUUGACAUUUUCUUGUUGUUCCACGAAAUUGGUUAUUAUAUUCAAUGGAAGUAUAAAGUUUUUUUUUUGUUUUUCGCCAAAUGCUGUGACAAUAUGUACAGUGGAUAACUGAAUGUCAAUUGUGACCAUGCAUGGCAAAAUAACUACAUUACUUGCUCUCACACUCCAAGGUUGAGAUUCCCAUGUACUCCCUCCGCAAACUAAUAUAAGAGCAUUUAGAUCACUAAAAUACUCAUCUAAACGUUCUUAUAUUAGUUUACAGAGGGAGUAGUCUUCAUUUAGUACUGUUCCUCCGCAAUAUUCAGUACGAGUGCAGUUUUGUUUGCACGUCCAUUUGAUAGUUUGAAAUAGCAAUUUCAUUUUUGAUUCGUUUUGUGAGAUUAAAUCUAACGAAAUUUUACUAUGUUUGUGACUUUGUGUCCCUUGCUUGAUGUUAUUCUAGAAUUUGUCCCAUAUAUAAGAGUAGAUUAAUAUGGCCGUGGAAUGUUAUUGGUUGCCGUCAAUAGCAAGUGCUUGCUUCUAUUCGUACAAUGUUAUUGGUUGCUAAAAUAUAAUUAAGUUAUCAUUUUUAUAAUGAGCGACGACUGAGGCAUUUCUUUUUGACGGGCAAUGGCAGUGGUUCUUCCUUUUCAUAUAAGGAAGCAAAGGGUCAAAGAUCCCAGUGUCUCAUACAAAGAGUGUUCGCUCAGACUCAACAAAUAGAGAAAAAGGAGAGGAGGAGGCAAACACUAUAUGACAACCUCUUUGUACAGACUCAGCUCAUCUCUAGCUAACGCAGCAACAAUUUCGGGAGAACAUCUCUUACCCUCAAAAGUUCUUCUAUUCCCUUCUUUCCUUAGGUUCUAGGCAAUAUAGACCCCGUGGUAAUCUAAGGAGCCAGCUCAGAUCUCUUGUGUAGCGUCCAGACCUUUCGCCACCAACCACUGACGCAUUUCUCAAUGAGGUGUCUUUGUAUUAUGUACAUGUAUGCUUAUGAUUUAGGUUACGGACUCGACUGCCUGGAGACCAUCGCCAACCCUCUAUAUGUGAGGACUGUCCUGCCCUCCAGCAAUGUUGCCUCAUUCCCUAUGACAUGGAUGGAGUUCCAGGCUAUCUUGCUUUUUUCUGCGUUAUUUGGAUGUUUUUCUUGGCACGAAGUAUCAUUAAAAUGCUUGAGAAGACUGCAAGUGUGGGAGACUGUGGUUUCAAAUCAGAGAACUGAGGUUUCAAAGUUAUCCAUAUAAGGCCAAGAUGUUCUCAACAUGCCCGGACCAUCACUUUGACUAUCCAUUCCAGAUAAGCUCCAAGGACCGACAAUAUGGCAGGGGAAAGUGAUGCAUAAACUCAACCUCCUGACAAUUGUAAAAAAACAGAUUUUGCCUAUACACGUGAUGCUGAUUGAAGAUGUAGACAAGAGAUCGGGAAUGGGCAAUUGUCACCGCCCUUAUUCCCUUAGCUUGAAAGGUUAAGAGAGAGUGAACCAUGACUUUUUAAUACGUGUGUUGCACGUGUACGUUUACUAGUCCACAUAAGGGGAGCAAAAGAAAUCCCGUAUUUGAGUUCUAACAGCAGAAUCCUAAGUGAAAAAUCGUGGUGUGACAAUCUUGAUGCAA